GCCUGUUGCACAAAAGUAGAAUUAAGACAUCCGGGAUAAAUGACUCAGCUGAGCUCAAUGAAGCCAAAACAUGUGCGUCCAGGCUUAAUUGGUUGCACAAAGACCAAGCCAGGAUGAGCAGACACGGAUUCAUUAAGCCAGGUGAAACCAAUCCUGGAUAGGUGCGCGCUCACGGCUCACUCAAAUAGACCCCGCCACAGAUCACAGAUUAACUGAUUUACCAUGGCAACUAGAGCCGCGUACUUUUCCCCGUCGGAAGCACAAAUCCUCAUGGAGGCAUACGAGGAGGUAAAAGAUAUAAUUAAGAAGAAAGGCAACACCGCCACAGUGAUAAAGCAAAGAGAAAAAGCGUGGCAAAGUAUUGCAGACCGCCUGAAUGCGUAAGUAGUGCACAAUUACACACUCACCGCUCCGCUGAAACAUCACAAUUACAAUUCAAAUAUUUAAUUCACAUCUCCAAAAAUGCAGUUGUACUGUAAUUAUGAAACGGUUAAAUUUUUAAUUGAAAUGCACUGCAGAUAUGAGUGAAAUUGUGUAAAGUAACUCCAUCACACUGUUUAAAGCUAUGAUACAUUCUUUGAUAUUUUUACUGAAAACAAGACAAAAAUACCAAGUAAUUUUUUGCAGUGUGACUCCAUUAAAUGUGUGUGUGUGUGUGUGUGUGUGUGUGUGUGUGUGUAGAUUAAACAUGAACGGGCCAAAACGGACAUGGCAGCAGGUCAAAAUCAAAUACAAGAACAUUCUGCAGAAUGCAGUGAAAAAGAAUACCCACAGACAAGGCACGGGUGGUGGGUCACCAAAGGCUGACCUUACCCCAGCAGAGGACAUGGCCUUGGAGCUAAAUAAAGGCAGGCCCGUCUUAGAGGGGAUCCCUGGGGGGAAAGAGACGAGCAUAGGUUCCUCCCAAGAUGCCACCCGCUUCAUUCAAGUGCCUGGCAGCACUGUGUUCCUGUUAGAGCCACCAGCACAAGCACCAGACGAUGCUGAUCCAGGUGAAGGCCCCAGUGCAGCAGCAACAGCACAUGAUGGAGACGAUGAUGAGGAGGAGACCAUCUCUCUGGAUUCCAGAAGGCAUGAGGACCCAGAUGCUAUACAGUGGGAAAACCAGCCUGGCAACAUAAGCUCACAAGCUAUCAGAAAGUUGUAUGGCAACCACCUCCGGCGCCAAAUAGAACUGGCAGACAUAGACAUUCAGUACAAGAAGAAAAAGAUAGAAAAUCUUGCACUGGAGUCCGAAAUAAAAAAAGAGGACAAUUAGGAAACUGGACCUUGAAAUAAAAAAACUUGCGAGGGAGGUGAGAUAUGCCUUCAAUGUACACUGUAUGCUAACUGUAACACAAAUGUAUUAAUCAUUAUUUUUAUUUCCUCCCCCAGCUCCAAGAAGAUGACACAGCUCAAAAUAAAAAUUAGGUAUAUUCUCGUAAAGUCAAGUGAGCCAUGACAUAUGAGCUCUUAUUGUGAGCACACAGGACGGUGGCAUCUUUCUAAGGUUUUUUUAAUUUUCCCAGCAAUCAGUACAACCAAGUCAUCGUUAUAAGGCAUCGCCCUCUUUUGCCCACCCCCCCAGCACCAGGUGUGGCCACUAGCCUAUAUGAAGGCCCAAAAUUGUGUGUUCCUUUCUGCUCUGACAAUGGCAUGCCCAUUCGUGCGAGAUGUGGUGGAUGAAGAAGCACUUGUGCUGAGGAGAGCCUUCAGGCGAGAAAGGGUCUUCAGGGACCGG